GGGGAUUUAGCUCAGUGGUAGAGCGCUUGCCUAGCAAGCGCAAGGCCCUGGGUUCAGACCCCAGCUCCA
rnacentral:tRNA from 1 species